UACGUAGGGGCCUAGCGUUGUCCGGAAUCAUUGGGCGUAAAGAGCGCGUAGGCGGCCCGGUAAGUCCGCUGUCAAAGUCGAAGGCUUAACCUUUGAAAGUCAGUGGAUACUGCCGGGCUAGAGUCCGGAAGAGGCGAGUGGAACUCCUGGUGUAGCGGUGGAAUGCGCAGAUAUCAGGAGGAACACCUGUGGUGUAGACGGCUUUCUGGACCAUAACUGACGCUGAGACACGAAAGCGUGGGUAGCAAACAGG
rnacentral:rRNA from 1 species